UCCGCAGUAGCUCAGUGUAGAGCUAUCGGGCUGUUAACGAUCGGUCGUUAGGUUCGAGUCCUACCUGCGGAGCCA
rnacentral:tRNA from 1 species